rnacentral:rRNA from 2 species
UUCCGGUUGAUCCUGCCGGACCUGACUGCUAUCGGAUUGAUACUAAGCCAUGCUAGUCUUUGUAGUAAUACAAGGCAUACGGCUCAGUAACACGUAGUCAACCUACCCUAUGGACGGGAAUAAUCUCGGGAAACUGAGGAUAAUACCCGGCAUAUCAUCAUUCCUGGAAUGGUUGGUGAUUAAAAUGAUUCGUCGCCGUAGGAUGGGACUGCGACCUAUCAGCUUGUUGGUGGGGUAAAGGCCCACCAAGGCGAUUACAGGUACGGGCUCUGAGAGGAGAAGCCUGGAGAUGGGUACUGAGACACGGACCCAGGCCCUAUGGGGCGCAGCAGGCGAGAAAACUUUGCAAUGUGCGAAAGCACGACAAGGUUAAUCCGAGUGAUUUCUGCUAAAGGAAUCUUUUGCCAGUUCUAAAAAUACUAGUGAAUAAGGGGUGGGCAAGUUCUGGUGUCAGCCGCCGCGGUAAAACCAGCACCUCAAGUGGUCAGGAGGAUUAUUGGGCCUAAAGCAUCCGUAGCCUGUUCUAUAAGUUUGCGGUUAAAUCUAUACGCUCAACGUAUAGGCUGCCGUAAAUACUGUAGAACUAGGGAGUGGGAGAGGUAGACGGUACUCGGUAGGAAGGGGUAAAAUCCUUUGAUCUAUCGAUGACCACCUGUGGCGAAGGCGGUCUACCAGAACACGUUCGACGGUGAGGGAUGAAAGCUGGGGGAGCAAACCGGAUUAGAUACCCGGGUAGUCCCAGCUGUAAACGAUGCAGACUAGAUGAUGCAUUAGCAUAUAGCUAGUGCA